rnacentral:rRNA from 1 species
UACAGAGACUGCAAGCGUUAUUCGGAUUCACUGGGCGUAAAGGGUGCGCAGGCGGCCAAGUGUGUGAGGCGUGAAAGCCCGGGGCUUAACCCCGGAAUUGCACCUCAAACUACAUGGCUAGAGCAUUGGAGAGGGUAGCAGAAUUCACGGUGUAGCAGUGAAAUGCGUAGAUAUCUGGAGGAACACCGGUGGCGAAGGCGGCAUCCUGGACCAACACUGACGCUGAGGAGCGAAAGCCAGGGGAGCAAACGGG